GACGCUAAUACCGCAUACGUCCUACGGGAGAAAGCAGGGUUACCUUCGGGCCUUGCGCUAUCAGAUGAGCCUAGGUCGGAUUAGCUAGUUGGUGAGGUAAUGGCUCACCAAGGCUACGAUCCGUAACUGGUCUGAGAGGAUGAUCAGUCACACUGGAACUGAGACACGGUCCAGACUCCUACGGGAGGCAGCAGUGGGGAAUAUUGGACAAUGGGCGAAAGCCUGAUCCAGCCAUGCCGCGUGUGUGAAGAAGGUCUUCGGAUUGUAAAGCACUUUAAGUUGGGAGGAAGGGCAUUAACCUAAUACGUUAGUGUUUUGACGUUACCGACAGAAUAAGCACCGGCUAACUCUGUGCCAGCAGCCGCGGUAAUACAGAGGGUGCAAGCGUUAAUCGGAAUUACUGGGCGUAAAGGGAGCGUAGGUGGCUCUAUAAGUCAGAUGUGAAAUCCCCGGGCUUAACCUGGGAACUGCAUCUGAAACUGUAGAGCUAGAGUAUGUGAGAGGAAGGUAGAAUUCCAGGUGUAGCGGUGAAAAUGCGUAGAGAUCUGGAAGGAAUACCGAUGGGCCCAAGGCAGCCNUUNCUGGCAUAAUACUGACACUGANGGCUCGAAAGCGUGGGUNAGCAAAUCNGGAUUAGAUACCCUGGUAGUCCACGCCGUAAACGANUGUCUACUAGUNCGUUGGGUCCCNUUGANGGACUUNAGUGANCGCAGNCUNAACGCAAUAAGUAGACCGCCUGGGGAGUACGGCCGCAAGGUUAAAACUCAAAUGAAUUGACGGGGGCCCGCACAAGCGGUGGAGCAUGUGGUUUAAUUCGAUGCAACGCGAAGAACCUUACCUACCCUUGACAUCCAGAGGACUUUCCAGAGAUGGAUUGGUGCCUUCGGGAACUCUGAGACAGGUGCUGCAUGGCUGUCGUCAGCUCGUGUUGUGAAAUGUUGGGUUAAGUCCCGUAACGAGCGCAACCCCUAUCCUUAUUUGCCAUCGAGUAAUGUCGGGAACUCUAAGGAGACUGCCGGUGACAAACCGGAGGAAGGUGGGGACGACGUCAAGUCAUCAUGGCCCUUACGGGUAGGGCUACACACGUGCUACAAUGGCAAGUACAAAGGGUUGCAAUAA
rnacentral:rRNA from 1 species